UCAAACUUGGUCAUUUAGAGGAAGUAAAAGUCGUAACAAGGUCUCCGUAGGUGAACCUGCGGAGGGAUCAUUACCAGAGUGGACCGGCCCUCGCGGCUGGAACCUCCCAACCCCAUGUCGUUUCGACUCUGUUGCCUCGGGGGCGACCCGGCCUUCGGGCGUCGGGGCCCCCGGCGGACCCCUCAAACUCUGCAUGCUUUGCGUCUGAGUACAGAUAUAAAUCAAUCAAAACUUUCAACAACGGAUCUCUUGGUUCUGGCAUCGAUGAAGAACGCAGC
rnacentral:misc_RNA from 1 species